ACCCCGGGAGGGGAGUGAAAUAGAUCCUGAAACCGUAUGCUUACAAAAAGUAGGAGCCUCGUAAGGGGUGACUGCGUACCUUUUGUAUAAUGGGUCAGCGACUUACUUUCAGUAGCAAGGUUAACCGUAUAGGGGAGCCGUAGAGAAAUCGAGUCUUAACUGGGCGAUCAGUUGCUGGAAGUAGACCCGAAACCGAGCGAUCUAUCCAUGGCCAGGGUGAAGGU
rnacentral:rRNA from 1 species